CAAUCGAACCUGGAGAUAGCUGGUUCUCUCCGAAAUAGCUUUAGGGCUAGCCUCAAGUGAUGAUUAUUGGAGGUAGAGCACUGUUUGGACGAGGGGCCCCUCUCGGGUUACCGAAUUCAGACAAACUCCGAAUGCCAAUUAAUUUAACUUGGGAGUCAGAACAUGGGUGAUAAGGUCCGUGUUCGAAAGGGAAACAGCCCAGACCACCAGCUAAGGUCCCAAAAUAUAUGUUAAGUGGAAAAGGAUGUGGCGUUGCCCAGACAACUAGGAUGUUGGCUUAGAAGCAGCCAUCAUUUAAAGAGUGCGUAAUAGCUCACUAGUCGAGUGACACUGCGCCGAAAAUGUACCGGGGCUAAACAUAUUACCGAAGCUGUGGAUUGUCCUUUGGACAAUGGUAGGAGAGCGUUCUAAGGGCGUUGAAGCAUGAUCGUAAGGACAUGUGGAGCGCUUAGAAGUGAGAAUGCCGGUGUGAGUAGCGAAAGACGGGUGAGAAUCCCGUCCACCGAUUGACUAAGGUUUCCAGAGGAAGGCUCGUCCGCUCUUGGUUAGUCGGGUCCUAAGCUGAGGCCGACAGGCGUAGGCGAUGGAUAACAGGUUGAUAUUCCUGUACCACCUAUAAUCGUUUUAAUCGAUGGGGGGACGCAGUAGGAUAGGCGAAGCGUGCGAUUGGAUUGCACGUCUAAGCAGUAAGGCUGAGUAUUAGGCAAAUCCGGUACUCGUUAAGGCUGAGCUGUGAUGGGGAGAAGACAUUGUGUCUUCGAGUCGUUGAUUUCACACUGCCGAGAAAAGCCUCUAGAUAGAAAAUAGGUGCCCGUCCCGCAAACCGACACAGGUAGUCAAGAUGAGAAUUCUAAGGUGAGCGAGCGAACUCUCGUUAAGGAACUCGGCAAAAUGGCCCCGUAACUUCGGGAGAAGGGGUGCUCUUUAGGGUUAACGCCCAGAAGAGCCGCAGUGAAUAGGCCCAAGCGACUGUUUAUCAAAAACACAGGUCUCUGCUAAACCGUAAGGUGAUGUAUAGGGGCUGACGCCUGCCCGGUGCUGGAAGGUUAAGAGGAGUGGUUAGCUUCUGCGAAGCUACGAAUCGAAGCCCCAGUAAACGGCGGCCGUAACUAUAACGGUCCUAAGGUAGCGAAAUUCCUUGUCGGGUAAGUUCCGACCCGCACGAAAGGCGUAACGAUUUGGGCACUGUCUCAACGAGAGACUCGGUGAAAUCAUAGUACCUGUGAAGAUGCAGGUUACCCGCGACAGGACGGAAAGACCCCGUGGAGCUUUACUGUAGCCUGAUAUUGAAAUUCGGCACAGCUUGUACAGGAUAGGUAGGAGCCUUUGAAACGUGAGCGCUAGCUUACGUGGAGGCGCUGGUGGGAUACUACCCUAGCUGUGUUGGCUUUCUAACCCGCACCACUUAUCGUGGUGGGAGACAGUGUCAGGCGGGCAGUUUGACUGGGGCGGUCGCCUCCUAAAAGGUAACGGAGGCGCUCAAAGGUUCCCUCAGAAUGGUUGGAAAUCAUUCAUAGAGUGUAAAGGCAUAAGGGAGCUUGACUGCGAGACCUACAAGUCGAGCAGGGUCGACAGACAGACUUAGUGAACCGGUGGUUCCGCAUGGAAGGGCCAUCGCUCAACGGAUAAAAGCUACCCCGGGGAUAACAGGCUUAUCUCCCCCAAGAGUUCACAUCGACGGGGAGGUUUGGCACCUCGAUGUCGGCUCAUCGCAUCCUGGGGCUGUAGUCGGUCCCAAGGGUUGGGCUGUUCGCCCAUUAAAGCGGUACGCGAGCUGGGUUCAGAACGUCGUGAGACAGUUCGGUCCCUAUCCGUCGUGGGCGUAGGAAAUUUGAGAGGAGCUGUCCUUAGUACGAGAGGACCGGGAUGGACAUACCUCUGGUGUACCAGUUGUCGUGCCAACGGCAUAGCUGGGUAGCUAUGUGUGGACGGGAUAAGUGCUGAAAGCAUCUAAGCAUGAAGCCCCCCUCAAGAUGAGAUUUCCCAACUUCGGUUAUAAGAUCCCUCAAAGAUGAUGAGGUUAAUAGGUUCGAGGUGGAAGCAUGGUGACAUGUGGAGCUGACGAAUACUAAUCGAUCGAAGACUUAAUCAA
rnacentral:rRNA from 1 species